rnacentral:rRNA from 1 species
GACGAACGCUGGCGGCGUGCCUAAUACAUGCAAGUCGAGCGCAGGAAACUGACGGAACUCUUCGGAGGGAAGGCAGUGGAAUGAGCGGCGGACGGGUGAGUAACACGUAAGGAACCUGCCUCAAGGAUUGGGAUAACUCCGAGAAAUCGGAGCUAAUACCGGAUAGUUCAUCGGACCGCAUGGUCCGGUGAUGAAAGGCGCUUCGGCGUCACCUUGAGAUGGCCUUGCGGUGCAUUAGCUAGUUGGUGGGGUAACGGCCCACCAAGGCGACGAUGCAUAGCCGACCUGAGAGGGUGAUCGGCCACACUGGGACUGAGACACGGCCCAGACUCCUACGGGAGGCAGCAGUAGGGAAUCUUCCACAAUGGACGAAAGUCUGAUGGAGCAACGCCGCGUGAGUGAUGAAGGUUUUCGGAUCGUAAAACUCUGUUGUAAGGGAAGAACACGUACGAGAGGGAAUGCUCGUACCUUGACGGUACCUUACGAGAAAGCCACGGCUAACUACGUGCCAGCCGCCGCGGUAAAAC